UUUUUUUUCUUUUUGUAUUUUGAAGGUAGAGACAGGUCUGCAUUUACUAAGGCAAAGAUCAAUACCUUGUAUUUAAUGACAUCAAGGACUUGGAUUUUUUUUUUUAUAUACACUUGAGGUACCCCAAGAUUGUGCAAUAAACACAGAGUUUGUAUACUGUCUUUGUGCUAUGUAUAAAAUAGAGGUUCAGUCUAAAUGAGACAGUGAAUUAAAAACACAUUGUAAAAUGCUACUAAAUAAUUAUGACAAACAACUUGAUUUUGAAUAGCAUAUAAAGUAAAUCACAGAACACGUUCCUAAACUAAAUCAGCAAGACCUUUGAAGAGUUUUCCAUAUGGCCCCCUCAUUCUCAGGUUAUUCAAGGAAAAUACACAUGGAAUUAAGUGCCACUGAUUCAAUGUACAAAGCAGAAAAAGCCAAAAAUAAUUUUAGCAGGAAAUCCUCCUACUUCACACACAACAUUUUAUACAGCCAAGCUGCUCUGUUUUCUUUUACAUCCUGGAGAUUUUAGCAUAGAUGAUUAUUUUACAAUUGUCAGCUGUUAUAUUUCAUACUGUUCAGUCCAUUCUGAUGAAUUUGAGAUUAAAUUAUAUAAAAUCAUUCAUCAAUUAACAAGCUACCCAUUAGCAGUGAUUUCUGAUGAUUCUUCAUGAAUACAGGACUCAUUUGUCAGAGUCAAACAACUUUAAUAUUAAAUAGAAAUCAUGAGAUCACUUCAAGUAAGUUGAAUUAAAGUGCUGUGGUAAUUGCAGAAAAACAAAUCAGGCCUGGAGGUGUUGUUUGCCAACUGGCAGCAUGGAAAUAGUAUGUCUACAUUCAAACAAGGAUAGAUUGUUAAGACUGCAGAGGUUUGCCCUGCAAUUUAGCUUGAGUGAGAAUUAAGUUGAAAGAAAGUAAUAUGUGUGAAUUAGCUUUGAAAGCAAGCAUUUAUUAAUUAAUUAAUUUAUUAAUUACGUAUUUAAUUUCACUGUGGCAAGCUAGAAGUAGCAGCAAUAAUUCAAAAGCUCAUGUAAUUUCAGAGGAAGGGAGUAAAGAGGCACAUUAUAGUCCCUACAGAAGUUGCUUCACUUCAGCAAUUCUAUCAUGUUUCUUCUCUUUACAUUCCUUUCCAGAACAAUUUCUAAUUAUUAAGACAGAGCAUGCUGCUCAUAACUUGCUUAUUUUAUAAAGCCAUGACAAGAUAGUUACAAUCACUCCACAGGCUGAAGAGAAGGAUAUUUACAAUACUCAACUUUAUAUGUUCAUCUUUGCUAACUUAAUUAAAAUGCUAUUAUGUCUUGAGCUCCUUAUAUAAACUCUGGUGAAAACAACUCCUUUGAGAAUGACUUAUUUCAUGUGACCUCUGAAUGGAAAGGCAACAAGCAGGGGGCAACCAGCUAGAAACCAGCUGCGUCCUGUAUGACACCAGUUUGACCAUGUGACAAUGAAGUGCCCUAGUGGCAAAGGCCAGGUGUCUCCUGUGCUGCAUUAGGCAAUGUAUUGCCAGCAGAUUGAGGGAAGUGACUCUUCAACUCUACUCAGCAAUAGUAAGACCCAUUUGGAGUGCUGGGUCCAGCUCUGAGUCCCUCAGGAAAAAGAACAUGUUAGAGGAAAUCUAGCAAAUGAAGAUGACAAGCAUUGGAUACUGAGAGAAACUGAGAGGGAUGGAUCUGUUCAGCCUGGAAUAGAAAAAGCUCAGUAGAGCUUUAUCAGUGUGUCUAGAAACCUUCUUACUCUUAUUUGAAACUUCUUCUGGCUUCUUGAAGUUUAAAUUACCACCGUUAUCAUUUCACAUCAGUAAAUCAUUUUUAGUUAUCCUAAGAGCAUUAUGUUGCGACAAAAUUUUGAGGAACUAAGGGAAUCUGAUUUACACAUCACCCUAGUGCUUUUGUUUGAAGUCUGUUUUGUCUGUUCACAUACUACCCCUACAUACAGAGCAAUUUCUUACGAAGCAUAGUAAUACUAUUUUAAACAUAUACUCACAGACAGAAAUGCUAGCAAGUGAGAGCCAGAUCUCUGGCUGAAGCUUCAUAUUACAUUGAUCAAUAUGUAACUUCGCAAUAAUACUUUGUGCAUGUAAUUUCUACAGAGAAAGAGUUUUUAGUUUUCAGAAUUUCCCUUGCUAUCAAAAAAUGCACAAACAGGGCAUGAAAAUAGCUAAUGCUAACAACUGGAUGCGUAAGUACUCAAACCAUAAAACAAGUCAUAUAUAGAAAACACAUUUCAGUAAGCGUCUGGACAAUAAUGUUACAAUUGCCUGGAAGAAUCACACAUCAAUCUUAUUUUACUGCCAUCUUUCAUACCAGUUUUGCUGUCUCUAUCCCAGACAGCAGGCUAAGUAUAGGUAUCGCUAACAUAUAUGAAACCAGACGGCAGCCAGUAUUCUUGCAUAGCUUCCAGCUCAGCUGUCAUCCCGUCUGAUUCUCAGUGGGCUCAAAUAUAAUCCACUGGAGAUGUUAUUCCCACAGGAAGCUGGAGAUCAGUUCACACAGGACUUUGUGUUUGUUUGCAUAUGUGUAUUCACUGUAGUUAAUGUCAUUUUACUGACUGAACUUAAAAAUUCCUCCCCCAUCCCUGUACCAUGUGAAACAAGAUUAUCCCUCAAACCAUGAGACUGUUUCUGACAUAACUUAUGUGAAUGAUGCCAUAGAAUGUCUCCCACAUUCAUGAGAACUACUGGUUUCAGAAAACAAAACCAAUCGGAACAGCUUCAUGCACUGUUUUGUUUGCAUUACUUCUACUAGAAAUUAUGGAUUUGUCACCUUUUUAAGCUUAUGGUCCAGAAUGACUGCAAAGUGAUUGUAAAUACAUCUUUUAAAACCCAAACAGAUCACUACUUUUUCAUACAGGAUGCCAGUCAUUAAUAUUGCUGUGUUAUAAUAUCUGCCCAGGAUACAUUCUGAAAAAAAAUCUGAAAAUGUUUUGAAUCAAACAAAAUUGCUGUAAGGAUUAAAAUGCAAAUGAAAACUAUAAAAGCAGGACUCCAAAGUAUCAUUCUUAUGUAUUAAUGAAAAUAUUACAAUUUCUCCCAUCAUAUGAAGAGAUAAAAAUAAGACCAAAGAUAUUAGUUCAAUAGUCACUUCAUCUUUAGCUAGAAUUAGAGGAGAUGUAUGUUGUAGCAUUGAGCAAUGAAUUGUUAAGGACUGUUCCAAGAUAACCUCAAGAUCCUUCUUUAAAAUCAGUACACAUUUUCUCCCCAUAAGCAUCACCUAUGAGGCUCUUUUCCACUCCAAACUCUACAAGAUCAUAAAAGUUGAUCCUCUCCUGAGAAAAUAGAAGAUAUUCUACAUUUAGUAUGAUGAACUAUAAUAAAGAACCUGGGAUUUGUACAUAUGUACUUGUCUGUAUAUAUAUAUAUAUAUAUCUUAAUGGAGGACAAAUUAUAAUGGAGUUACAUCAAAAAACUAAUUAUCACAAUUUAGAUUACGUUAACCAAGAUCAAAGUAUAUAUUAUAAUGUUGUUUAAUCCCAAACCAGUAAAAUCGAAGUGCGACUUCAUUGUACAUCUGUUACCAGUUUCUGCUUCCACUGGCCUUUGAAAGACUAAAUAAUCAUAGUGCAACACUUUUUACCCAGCUGAACCCACUGAAAUAAAUUUAGGCCCAUUAAUUAUUAUGAUAAAUUUGACAGAGAAUGAGGCAAAAUCUUUCCUUAGAGGAGAUCUCUCUAGUAAUGAGUACUUCCAUGGCAAAAAGAAUCACAUUUAUUUGAUGCCCAAAUCAAAAGAAAAUUAAAAAAUUAACGGAGAAGAUGGUAACAAGUAUAUAUUCAUGAAAAACAGGGAAUAAUCAUUAGGAUAUAAACAUAUGAGAUCCCAUCACUGGACAAAAUGUAUGUUUGCAAGGCAACAUGGAGAACAAUCGUGUAUUCUACAAAGCUGGAGUACCAUACUAAU
ensembl:lncRNA